UUCUGUUUUAUUGAUAUAUAUUUUGAUUGCGUUACGUAUUUACAUACAGUAUGCUACAGUAAGCAUAUUUUAAGCGGGGGGAAUGCAGUUAUGAAAGAACAUGUACAAUAUUGCUGUUUCACACAAGUUUUUCAAGCUUCUCAUCGGUUGUAUUAUAUUCAUGGCAUUUGACACAAGAGCUUAGCUAUUUUUUUUUUCCCUUUUCCUGUUUAGUCUCCUCGUCGCCGAAGCAGAAGUCGGAGUCCUUCGCCAAGACGUUCGCAUCGUGAUUACGACAGAACACGAAAGCGAAGCCGAUCUCCAGGCCAUCAUAGACGAAGCCGUUCUCGAUCUCCUCGUCGUCGGCGACGCAGUGCCUCCCCUCAUAGAAGACGCGGGCACAGGAGCCGAAGUCGUUCGCCUCAUCGUCGCCAUUCGAGGUCGCGCUCUCGUUCACGAUCGCCCCAUCGUCGGCGUCACCGAUCCAAAUCGAAGUCCCGAUCAAAGUCGCCGGAGAAAUCGUCGAAGAAGUCGAAGAAAUCCGAAAAAUCUGACAAGAAGAAGGAGAAGGAAAGUGAGAGCACAGGGAUGAGUAAAGAAGAACUGGAGAUCAAAGAAGCAAACGAACUCAGAGCUAAGCUCGGACUCAAGCCGCUUAAGCCUUGAUGACAUACCUUGUCGGUUUGAGACUAAAAUACGGAAACGUUUCCUCAGGAAAAGAUCACUAAGCUGAUCUAUGAUGCUACAAUAAGGCACUGUAGAAAUAAACCAAUCAGAAAUCGUUUCCAGGCUCCGCAGCCUCCGCAGUGUAUGUGGUUUUUGAUGAUUUACUUUUUGUCGUCAAUAAUUUUUGUUUUCAUUGAGUAACAGCGGGAGUAUUGAAAGAGUUAUAAAAGAUUGCAUUGUCUUUUUAUUUUCUUUUGCUCGAGCAGAGCCUGUUUUUCCUCACAUUGCUCUCGUUUUUGUGUGUGUGUGCACUCGCCUUUUAGCGCUUUUUUCUCGACCGCCUGUCGAGAAGAGGUUCUCGCAGUCUAGCUCUAGGCAGUCCUUCGCUUUCACAAGUUUCAUUUGUCAGUGCAAAAUUAAACAACACAGUUCUUUCAAUCUUCUAGUUUAUUUUAUGUUGUAGUUAUGACUUGUAAUUCACGGUGGUCCAAAGAGAAUUCAAAACGCUGGUUGUGUGGUGCAAGAUACGGGCGAUAAGCAUAAGCCAUAAAUGAUUCAAUGAUGGUAGAUUCCGAGAAGAUUCCGUUAAAUGAAACAGGCAAACGCAAGGGUUGGACACCGCACAGCAGUUUUCGUCGUGAGAAAGUUGCGAGAAACGUACUUUCUACAACAACAACAACA